UGGGGAAUUUUGGACAAUGGGCGCAAGCCUGAUCCAGCCAUUCCGCGUGAGUGAAGAAGGCCUUCGGGUUGUAAAGCUCUUUCGCAAGGGAAGAAAACUUAUCCUCUAACAUAGGAUGAGGUUGACGGUACCUUGAUAAGAAGCACCGGCUAACUACGUGCCAGCAGCCGCGGUAAUACGUAGGGUGCGAGCGUUAAUCGGAAUUACUGGGCGUAAAGCGUGCGCAGGCGGUAGUGCAAGUCUGAUGUGAAAGCCCCGGGCUUAACCUGGGAACGGCAUUGGAGACUGCAUAACUAGAGUGCGUCAGAGGGGGGUAGAAUUCCACGUGUAGCAGUGAAAUGCGUAGAUAUCUGAAGGAACACCAGUGGCGAAGGCGACUCCCUGGACUAGAACUGACGCUGAGGUACGAAAGCGUGGGUAGCAAACAGG
rnacentral:rRNA from 1 species